rnacentral:rRNA from 1 species
GACGAACGCUGGCGGCGUGCUUAACACAUGCAAGUCGAACGGACAGGCCCUGCUUGCAGGGUUCUCGAGUUGCCAACGGGUGAGUAACACAUGGGUGAUCUGCCCUGCACUUCGGGAUAAGCCUCUUCAACUGGGUCUAAUACCGGCUAGGAGCCAUUUUUAGUGUGAUGGUUGGAAAGUUUUUUCGGUGUUGGGUGAGCUGGCGGCCUAUCAGCUUGUUGGGGGGGUAAUGGCCUACCAAGGCGGCGACGGGUAGCCGGCCUGAGAGGGUGGACGGCCAUAUUGGGACUGAGGGACGGCACAGACUGCGACGGGAGGGAGAAGGGGGGAAGAUUGAAGAAGGGGCGCAAGCCUGAUGCAGAGAGGCCGCGGGGGGGAUGACGGCCUUCGGGUGGUAAACUCAAUUCGCUAGGGACGAAGCUUGUUGUGACGGUACCUAGAUAAGAAGCACCGGCUAACUACGUG